AACGAACGCUGGCGGCAGGCUUAACACAUGCAAGUCGAACGGGCGCAGCAAUGCGUCAGUGGCAGACGGGUGAGUAACACGUGGGAACCUUCCUUAAGGUACGGGACAACUCAGGGAAACUUGAGCUAAUACCGUAUACGUCCGUGAGGAGAAAGAUUUAUCGCCUUUAGACGGGCCCGCGUCGGAUUAGCUAGUUGGUGGGGUAACGGCCUACCAAGGCGACGAUCCGUAGCUGAUCUGAGAGGAUGAUCAGCCACACUGGGACUGAGACACGGCCCAGACUCCUACGGGAGGCAGCAGUGGGGAAUCUUGGACAAUGGGCGCAAGCCUGAUCCAGCCAUGCCGCGUGAGUGAAGAAGGCCUUAGGGUUGUAAAGCUCUUUUACCAGGGACGAUAAUGACGGUACCUGGAGAAUAAGCCCCGG
rnacentral:rRNA from 1 species